rnacentral:rRNA from 1 species
UACGUAGGGUGCGAGCGUUAAUCGGAAUUACUGGGCGUAAAGCGUGCGCAGGCGGUUAUGCAAGACAGAUGUGAAAUCCCCGGGCUCAACCUGGGAACUGCAUUUGUGACUGCAUGGCUGGAGUGCGGCAGAGGGGGAUGGAAUUCCGCGUGUAGCAGUGAAAUGCGUAGAUAUGCGGAGGAACACCGAUGGCGAAGGCAAUCCC